GUUUCAUACGAUUUAUUCCAGAAUAGGGAUUCUGAGUGGAAUCUAGAAUCAAAAUUAGUCCAAGAUGUGUAGAGGCAUUCAGAGCUUUUUACAAGGGAUGGAAGCUAUAGAAGAUGACGUGAAUAUGUUAUUGAUGGAGAAAAAGGUUGGGUGUGUCCUUUCUGGCCACUAGGAUAAAAUAAUGAAGCUAAGGAGACAGAAAGAAGGACAAUGUAUCAUCGUGAAAAUGCCAUGUAGCAACAUUACAUAUUUACAGAAGAAUCCGUAGUAGUGUGGGAACUGGUGGUUGUUUCAAUCAUCUGGACUUGUAAGUAGAAAAUUUUUUAAAAAAUGUGCUUAUAAAAAUACAAACCCCAGAAAAUAACAGUGGCAAAGUAUUGUAUAUAUACAUAUUGCCCUUGUAGAGAAUUUGUAUGAUUUAAAAUAUGUCUUUAAGACAUCUUAGUUUUAUUUAUAAGUUUUGGUGUUUCCCUGUUUUAAAAUCAUAAUGUUGGCAUCUGUAAUAAAGUCUACUUAUGAGGCCCCUGUCACGCUAUUUUUUUGUCCAUUUAACAAAAUAAAAAUUAUUCAUAUUCUUUAUA